UGGCGGACGGGUGAGUAAUGCUGGGAAACUGCCCGAUGGAGGGGGAUAACUACUGGAAACGGUAGCUAAUACCGCAUAACGUCGCAAGACCAAAGAGGGGGACCUUCGGGCCUCUUGCCAUCGGAUGUGCCCAGAUGGGAUUAGCUAGUAGGUGGGGUAACGGCUCACCUAGGCGACGAUCCCUAGCUGGUCUGAGAGGAUGACCAGCCACACUGGAACUGAGACACGGUCCAG
rnacentral:rRNA from 1 species